UAGAGGAGGCAGGUAGUCUAGUGGUUAGAGGAGACAGGUAGUCUAGUGGUUAGAGGAGACAGGUAGUCUAGUGGUUAGAGGAGACAGGUAGUCUAGUGGUUAGAGGAGACAGGUAGUCUAGUGGUUAGAGGAGGCAGGUAGUCUAGUGGUUAGAGGAGGCAGGUAGUCUAGUGGUUAGAGGUGGCAGGUCUCCUAAUGGUUAGAGGAGACAGGUAGUCUAGUGGUUAGAGGAGACAGGUAGUCUAGUGGUUAGAGGAGACAGGUAGUCUAGUGGUUAGAGGAGGUAGGUAGUCUAGUGGUUAGAGGAGACAGGUAGUCUAGUGGUUAGAGGAGACAGGUAGCCUAGUGGUUAGAGGAGACAGGUAGUCUAGUGGUUAGAGGAGACAGGUAGUCUAGUGGUUAGAGGAGACAGGUAGCCUAGUGGUUAGAGGAGACAGGUAGUCUAGUGGUUAGAGGAGGCAGGUAGUCUAGUAGUUAGAGGAGACAGGUAGUCUCGUGGUUAGAGGAGACAGGUAGUCUAGUGGUUAGAGGAGGCAGGUAGUCUAGUGGUUAGAGGAGGCAGGUAGUCUAGUGGUUAGAGGAGGCAGGUAGUCUAGUGGUUAGAGGAGACAGGUAGUCUAGUGGUUAGAGGAGACAGGUAGUCUAGUGGUUAGAGGAGGCAGGUAGUCUAGUGGUUAGAGGAGACAGGUAGUCUAGUGGUUAGAGGAGACAGGUAGUCUAGUGGUUAGAGGAGACAGGUAGCCUAGUGGUUAGAGGAGACAGGUAGCCUAGUGGUUAGAGGAGGCAGGUAGUCUAGUGGUUAGAGGAGACAGGUAGCCUAGUGGUUAGAGGAGACAGGUAGUCUAGUAGUUAGAGGAGACAGGUAGUCUAGUGGUUAGAGGAGACAGGUAGCCUAGUGGUUAGAGGAGACAGGUAGCCUAGUGGUUAGAGGAGGCAGGUAGUCUAGUGGUUAGAGGAGACAGGUAGUCUAGUGGUUAGAGGAGGCAGGUAGUCUCGUGGUUAGAGGAGACAGGUAGUCUAGUGGUUAGAGGAGACAGGUAGUCUAGUGGUUAGAGGAGACAGGUAGUCUAGUGGUUAGAGGAGACAGGUAGUCUAGUGGUUAGAGGAGGCAGGUAGUCUAGUAGUUAGAGGAGACAGGUAGUCUAGUGGUUAGAGGAGACAGGUAGUCUAGUGGUUAGAGGAGGCAGGUAGUCUAGUAGUUAGAGGAGACAGGUAGUCUAGUGGUUAGAGGAGACAGGUAGCCUAGUGGUUAGAGGAGACAGGUAGCCUAGUGGUUAGAGGAGGCAGGUAGUCUAGUGGUUAGAGGAGACAGGUAGUCUAGUGGUUAGAGGAGGCAGGUAGUCUCGUGGUUAGAGGAGACAGGUAGUCUAGUGGUUAGAGGAGACAGGUAGUCUAGUGGUUAGAGGAGACAGGUAGUCUAGUGGUUAGAGGAGACAGGUAGUCUAGUGUUUAGAGGAGACAGGUAGCCUAGUGGUUAGAGGAGACAGGUAGUCUAGUGGUUAGAGGAGACAGGUAGCCUAGUGGUUAGAGGAGACAGGUAGUCUAGUGGUUAGAGGAGACAGGUAGCCUAGUGGUUAGAGGAGACAGGUAGUCUAGUGGUUAGAGGAGACAGGUAGCCUAGUGGUUAGAGGAGACAGGUAGUCUAGUGGUUAGAGGAGGCAGGUAGUCUAGUAGUUAGAGGAGACAGGUAGUCUAGUGGUUAGAGGAGACAGGUAGUCUAGUGGUUAGAGGAGGCAGGUAGUCUAGUAGUUAGAGGAGACAGGUAGUCUAGUGGUUAGAGGAGACAGGUAGCCUAGUGGUUAGAGGAGACAGGUAGCCUAGUGGUUAGAGGAGGCAGGUAGUCUAGUGGUUAGAGGAGACAGGUAGCCUAGUGGUUAGAGGAGACAGGUAGUCUAGUGGUUAGAGGAGACAGGUAGUCUAGUGGUUAGAGGAGACAGGUAGUCUAGUGGUUAGAGGAGACAGGUAGUCUAGUGGUUAGAGGAGGCAGGUAGUCUAGUGGUUAGAGGAGACAGGUAGUCUAGUGGUUAGAGGAGACAGGUAGUCUAGUGGUUAGAGGAGGCAGGUAGUCUAGUGGUUAGAGGAGACAGGUAGUCUAGUGGUUAGAGGAGGCAGGUAGCCUAGUGGUUAGAGGAGACAGGUAGUCUAGUGGUUAGAGGAGACAGGUAGUCUAGUGGUUAGAGGAGACAGGUAGUCUAGUGGUUAGAGGAGGCAGGUAGCCUAGUGGUUAGAGGAGACAGGUAGUCUAGUGGUUAGAGGAGACAGGUAGUCUAGUGGUUAGAGGAGGCAGGUAGUCUAGUGGUUAGAGGAGACAGGUAGCCUUGUGGUUAGAGGAGACAGGUAGUCUAGUGGUUAGAGGAGACAGGUAGCCUAGUGGUUAGAGGAGACAGGUAGUCUAGUGGUUAGAGGAGGCAGGUAGUCUAGUAGUUAGAGGAGACAGGUAGUCUAGUGGUUAGAUGAGGUAGGUAGUCUAGUGGUUAGAGGAGACAGGUAGUCUAGUGGUUAGAGGAGACAGGUAGUCUAGUGGUUAGAGGAGACAGGUAGCCUAGUGGUUAGAGGAGGCAGGUAGUCUAGUAGUUAGAGGAGGCAGGUAGCCUAGUGGUUAAAGGAGACAGGUAGUCUAGUGGUUAGAGGAGGCAGGUAGUCUAGUGGUUAGAGGAGGCAGGUAGUCUAGUGGUUAGAGGAGGCAGGUAGUCUAGUGGUUAGAGGAGGCAGGUAGUCUAGUGGUUAGAGGAGACAGGUAGUCUAGUGGUUAGAGGAGGCAGGUAGUCUAGUGGUUAGAGGAGGCAGGUAGUCUAGUGGUUAGAGGAGGCAGGUAGUCUAGUGGUUAGAGGAGACAGGUAGUCUAGUGGUUAGAGGAGACAGGUAGUCUAGUAGUUAGAGGAGACAGGUAGUCUAGUGGUUAGAGGAGGCAGGUAGUCUAGUGGUUAGAGGAGGCAGGUAGUCUAGUGGUUAGAGGAGGCAGGUAGCCUAGUGGUUAGAGGAGGCAGGUAGCCUAGUGGUUAAAGGAGACAGGUAGUCUAGUGGUUAGAGCAGGUAGGUAGCCUAGUGGUUAGAGGAGACAGGUAGUCUAGUAGUUAGAGGAGGCAGGUAGUCUAGUGGUUAGAGGAGGCAGGUAGUCUAGUGGUUAGAGGAGGCAGGUAGCCUAGUGGUUAAAGGAGACAGGUAGUCUAGUGGUUAGAGCAGGCAGGUAGUCUAGUGGUUAGAGGAGGCAGGUAGUCUAGUGGUUAGAGGAGGCAGGUAGCCUAGUGGUUAGAGGAGGCAGGUAGCCUAGUUGUUAGAGGAGGCAGGUAGCCUAGUGGUUAAAGGAGACAGGUAGUCUAGUGGUUAGAGCAGGCAGGUAGUCUAGUGGUUAGAGGAGGCAGGUAGUCUAGUGGUUAGAGGAGGCAGGUAGCCUAGUGGUUAAAGGAGACAGGUAGUCUAGUGGUUAGAGCAGGCAGGUAGUCUAGUGGUUAGAGGAGGCAGGUAGUCUAGUGGUUAGAGGAGGCAGGUAGUCUAGUGGUUAGAGGAGACAGGUAGCCUAGUGGUUAGAGGAGACAGGUAGUCUAGUGGUUAGAGGAGGCAGGUAGUCUAGUGGUUAGAGGAGACAGGUAGUCUAGUGGUUAGAGGAGACAGGUAGUCUGGUGGUUAGAGGAGGCAGGUAGUCUAGUGGUUAGAGGAGACAGGUAGUCUAGUGGUUAGAGGAGACAGGUAGUCUAGUUGUUAGAGGAGGCAGGGUAGCCUAGUGGUUAGAGGGGUGGGCCAGUUAAACGAAAGGUUGCUAGAUCGAAUUGACAAGGUAAAAAUCAGUCGUGCUGCCCACUGGUAGGAGGAGACAGGUAGCCUAGUAAACCCACCGUUCCCUGGUAGGAGGAGACAGGUAGCCUAGUUAACCCACCUUUCCCUGGUAGGAGGAGACAGGUAGCCUAGUUAACCCACCGUUCCCUGGUAGGAGGAGACAGGUAGCCUAGUUAACCCACCGUUCCCUGGUAGGAGGAGACAGGUAGCCUAGUUAACCCACCGUUCCCUGGUAGGAGGAGACAGGUAGCCUAGUUAACCCACCGUUCCCUGGUAGGAGGAGACAGGUAGCCUAGUUAACCCACCGUUCCCUGGUAGGAGGAGACAGGUAGCCUAGUUAACCCACCGUUCCCUGGUAGGAGGAGACAGGUAGCCUAGUUAACCCACCGUUCCCUGGUAGGAGGAGACAGGUAGCCUAGUUAACCCACCGUUCCUUGGUAGGAGGAGACAGGUAGCCUAGUUAACCCACCGUUCCCUGGUAGGAGGAGACAGGUAGCCUAGUUAACCCACCGUUCCCUGGUAGGAGGAGACAGGUAGCCUAGUUAACCCACCGUUCCCUGGUAGGAGGAGACAGGUAGCCUAGUUAACCCACCGUUCCCUGGUAGGAGGAGACAGGUAGCCUAGUUAACCCACCGUUCCCUGGUAGGAGGAGACAGGUAGCCUAGUUAACCC